CCCAAAUAUUGACAAUGACGAUGGGCUGGAGACAGUUCUUGAGGUUCCAAUUCCAGAAGAAAUGUUCACAAGCAUGGGCAGCAAUGUGAACUUGCGUUGGCAAAAUAUGCUUACAUGGAUGAAAGCUCAAACAUCUGACAAGUGGUCACAACCAGUCAUUGCUGGACGCAUCAACGAGCUUCGAUUUCUUCUUUACAUGGUUGGAUCUCCUCUUAUCCCUCUCCAGGUUCAAGUUGGCCAUUCUGUUCACAGACCUGUCAAAGAUUGUUCCAUUGUAAGCAAAUAUAUAAUGAACUUUAAU
rnacentral:misc_RNA from 1 species